rnacentral:piRNA from 1 species
UGGAUUAAAAGUGGCAAUUAACUG